AGUUGGUGUUGUAUUACGAGCUUCGGACUAUCCAAAUUCAGAAAUGUCUAGCAAAUUCAGCCACCUAUCAAAGAAUAACAGUACGGAGGUUCUAGCUGAAUAUGCUGAUCAUACAAGAGUACGCCGGCAGUUGCUUACUCCUAAAACCAAAGGUCGUGGUGGUGAUUUUGGAGGUGAGGGAUUCAACGUGACAAAAAGUAGAGAUGCAUGUGUUGUUUUGUGGGGUUUCCUUCAGUUCAGAAAUCAACAUUGUUGAAGAUGGUGAGAGGAACCUUUUCAAAGGGUUGCAGUAGUUGGGAUCGCAGAGGCGAGCUUUCUCGAGAUCGAUUGUGUUAAAAUAAAGUGGUGUUUUUUUAUAUUGUCUCCUGCACAUGUAUAUUCAAAAUGGGUGCUUCUAUCCAAAUAUUGCACACAAAUAGGAAAUAAUAUGUGGAUUGACAUUUGUAAGCUUUGCAUAUUCAAAAUUUGAAUUUGAGAGAUGUAUUAAAUUUUAAAUUUGAGAUGUGCACAUCAUGUGAACUA